UGGUGUUGUGUUUUCUUUUGUGCACAGGGCCUAAAGUUAUUUUGUAGAUCUGUAGAGCUCAGUGAAGACAAAGUGGGUUGGGAAGACAUAUGUAGAUUUAUUGCUUGAGGAGCAGCUAGCUAACUAGAUGUAAGGGAAGUGUUUAAGAGAAACAAUGAAUUUAGAGACUUCUGCAAGUAGUGGAUUCAAAAACUUCUCCUAGGAAUAUGUUAGAUUUUCAUUAAUUUCUGGAUCGUCUAAGGAAGCAUAAGAAUUCCAUAGGGAAACUGAACCCAAACUAAUAAACCCUUUCUUGAAAAGAA